UACUCCACAGUACCUCCGCAUUUGAAGAUUGUCUUCCUGAGACUAUAUCCAUGUGACUUGAUGGAAUCUUGGAAAGCACCUUGAUCACAAAAGUAAUAAAUUCAAAGCCAAGUCCAAGGGUUAAAGUUGGACACAAAAUGAGAAGUUUGGGGAGAUAAGGCUUGGGAGUUGAGAUCCUGCAUGGAAAACAAGAUGAAUUAACUUCCCAGGCUGCGUGCAGAAGGUUGAAGCAGCUGGAAACAUCUGUUCCCAGAGAAAAGGAGCCCCUCUCUCCUGUCACUCUCCAUGACAG